CAGUAGCCGCGGGAAUAUGUAGGGUGCGAGCGUUAAUCGGAAUUACUGGGCGUAAAGCGUGCGCGGGCGGUUAUAUAAGACAGAUGUGAAAUCCCCGGGCUCAACCUGGGACCUGCAUUUGUGACUGUAUAGCUAGAGUACGGUAGAGGGGGAUGGAAUUCCGCGUGUAGCAGUGAAAUGCGUAGAUAUGCGGAGGAACACCGAUGGCGAAGGCAAUCCCCUGGACCUGUACUGACGCUCAUGCACGAAAGCGUGGGGAGCAAACAGGAUUAGAUACCCCCGUAGUCCCUGUCUCUUAUAC
rnacentral:rRNA from 1 species